AUUAUAAAAAUAUUUUUAUGAUUAGUUUUUAAAAAUUAUUUUUAUUUAUAGUGGAUUAGUAUUGAAAAAUAAUUUUAAUUUUAUUUUUUAAGAAAUUUUUAUUAAUUGUAUCUUGUGUAUCAGAGUUUAUUAAAUUAAAUUUAUUUAAAUAUAAAAAUUUCGAAAUUUUUUGAUUUAUAAAUAUUUAAAAAUUAAUGUUUCAUAAUUAUUAAAAAAAUAUUUAUUGAAAUUAAAAGUUAUUCGAAAAAAAUGAUAUCUAAUUAUUUUAAAAAUUAAUUUAAUUAAUUUAUAAAAAUUAUUAAAUUUAUAUUAAAGUUUAUAUUUAAUUUUUUAUAAAAAAAUUUUUAAGGAUAAGCUUAAAUAUUGAGUUAUAAAUGUAAAUAAAGAUUUAAAAUUGUAAGAUUAAUAUUUUUAUCAUUAAUAAAUUAUUAUAAAUAUUUUAAUGAUUAUAGAAAUUUAUUUUGUUUUAAUUUUGAAAUAAAAUUAUUUUUAUUAAUAAUAUUAAAAAGAAAUAAUGAUAAAAUUAGUAUAUAUUAUAGUUAGUAAAUUUAAAUUAAUAAAAAAUUAUUAAAAGAACUAGACAAAAUUUUAUCCAUCUGUUUAUUAAAAACAUAUUUAAUUGAAUUGAAUAAUUAAUGUAUUCUGCCCAUUGAUAAAUUUAAAGGCUGCAGUAUUUUGACUGUACAAAGGUAGCAUAAUCCUUUGUUUUUUUAUUGGAAACUUGUAUGAAGGAAUUAAUGAGAUAUCAAUUUUUUUUUUUAAUUUAUUAGAAUUUUUUGUUUAAGUGAAAAAACUUAAAUUAUAUUAAAAGACGAAAAGACCCUAUAAAACUUAAUUUUUAUAAUUUAAAAAAAAUUUUUAAAAAUUUAAUUGGGGAAAUUUAUAAAAUUAUAAAAUUUUAUUAGUUAAUAAAUUAAAAUUAUAAAUAUUAUUAAAGAUCUUAAAUUUUAGGAUAGAAGAUAAGUUACUUUAGGGAUAACAGCUUAAUUUUUUUAAAAAGUUCUUAUAUAAAAAAAAGUUUAUGACCUCGAUGU
rnacentral:rRNA from 1 species